rnacentral:rRNA from 1 species
ACUCCUACGGGAGGCAGCAGUGGGGAAUAUUGCACAAUGGGCGCAAGCCUGAUGCAGCCAUGCCGCGUGUAUGAAGAAGGCCUUCGGGUUGUAAAGUACUUUCAGCAGUGAGGAAGGUGGGUAUGUUAAUAGCAUAUUCAUUUGACGUUAGCUGCAGAAGAAGCACCGGCUAACUCCGUGCCAGCAGCCGCGGUAAUACGGAGGGUGCGAGCGUUAAUCGGAAUUACUGGGCGUAAAGCGCAUGCAGGUGGUUGUUAAGUCAGAUGUGAAAGCCCGGGGCUCAACCUCGGAAUUGCAUUUGAAACUGGCAAACUAGAGUACUGUAGAGGGGGUAGAAUUUCAGGUGUAGCGGUGAAAUGCGUAGAGAUCUGAAGGAAUACCGGUGGCGAAGGCGGCCCCUGGACAGAUACUGACACUCAGAUGCGAAAGCGUGGGAGCAAACAGGAUUAGAUACCCCGU